GCAAGUCGAGCGAAUGGAUUAAGAGCUUGCUCUUAUGAAGUUAGCGGCGGACGGGUGAGUAACACGUGGGUAACCUGCCCAUAAGACUGGGAUAACUCCGGGAAACCGGGGCUAAUACCGGAUAACAUUUUGAACUGCAUGGUUCGAAAUUGAAAGGCGGCUUCGGCUGUCACUUAUGGAUGGACCCGCGUCGCAUUAGCUAGUUGGUGAGGUAACGGCUCACCAAGGCAACGAUGCGUAGCCGACCUGAGAGGGUGAUCGGCCACACUGGGACUGAGACACGGCCCAGACUCCUACGGGAGGCAGCAGUAGGGAAUCUUCCGCAAUGGACGAAAGUCUGACGGAGCAACGCCGCGUGAGUGAUGAAGGCUUUCGGGUCGUAAAACUCUGUUGUUAGGGAAGAACAAGUGCUAGUUGAAUAAGCUGGCACCUUGACGGUGCCUAACCAGAAAGCCACGGCUAACUACGUGCCAGCAGCCGCGGUAAUACGUAGGUGGCAAGCGUUAUCCGGAAUUAUUGGGCGUAAAGCGCGCGCAGGUGGUUUCUUAAGUCUGAUGUGAAAGCCCACGGCUCAACCGUGGAGGGUCAUUGGAAA
rnacentral:rRNA from 1 species